GUUCGAUUCCGGAGAGGGAGCCUGAGAAACGGCUACCACAUCCAAGGAAGGCAGCAGGCACGCAAAUUACCCACUCCCGGCACGGGGAGGUAGUGACAAAAAAUAACGAUACGGGACUCAUCCGAGGCCCCGUAAUCGGAAUGAGAACACCCUAAAUCCUUUAACGAGGAUCUAUUGGAGGGCAAGUCUGGUGCCAGCAGCCGCGGUAAUUCCAGCUCCAAUAGCGUAUAUUAAAGUUGUUGCGGUUAAAAAGCUCGUAGUUGGUUCUGCGUGCCACGCUGUCGGUUCACCGCCUGUCGGUGCAACUGGCAUGCCGUGGCAUGUCCUGUCGGUGGCUGAAAGGCUUCGCGGCGCGCCCUAUGCGUUUACGCGUGUAGGUCGUCGCGCCGCGUUGUCCUUGUAGGCCGGCUCAAUCCUACCGCGGUGCUCUUUGCCGAGUGUCGAGGUAGGCCGACACUGUUUACUUUGAACAAAUUAGAGUGCUUCAAGCAGGCUCUGAAAGCAGCCUGAAUAGUGGUGCAUGGAAUAAUGGAACAGGACCUUGGUUC
rnacentral:rRNA from 1 species